rnacentral:rRNA from 1 species
AGAAGCUGUCCUACUGUGAACACCCCAGAUCUCUGUCUGAUCUCAGAAACUAAGCAGGAGUAGACCUGCUCAGAACUCGGAUGGAAGACCACCUGGGACUACUGAGUGCUGUAGCUU